rnacentral:rRNA from 1 species
CCUACGGGUGGCAGCAGUAGGGAAUAUUGCUCAAUGGGGGAAACCCUGAAGCAGCAACGCCGCGUGGAGGAUGAAGGUUUUCGGAUUGUAAACUCCUUUUGUUAGAGAAGAUAAUGACGGUAUCUAACGAAUAAGCACCGGAUAAAUCCGUGACAGAAGCCGCGGUAAUACGGAGGGUGCAAGCGUUACUCGGAAUCACUGGGCGUAAAGAGCGCGUAGGGGGGAUAGCUAGUGAGAUGUGAAAGCCUAUGGCUUAACCAUAGAAGUGCAUUUGAAAAUGUUAGUCUAGAGUUUGGGAGAGGUAGGUGGAAUUCUCGGUGUAGGGGUAAAAUCCGUAGAGAUCAAGCAGAACACUCAUUGCGAAGGCGACCUGCUAGAACAAAACUGACGCUGAUGCGCGAAAGCGUGGGGAGCGAACAGGAUUAGAUACCCGUGUAGUC